AAGUCGUAACAAGGUUUCCGUAGGUGAACCUGCGGAAGGAUCAUUAACACGUAUCCAACGUUAAACCCCCCUGUGAACCUUCAUUGUGCUCCCACGCUUUGUUAGAAAGUGGCAAUCCCUGGUAAAUCAUCGCCGAACAGUUUUGAUUCAGGGACUUCUGCGAAGAGGGUGAAUGAGGCGAGGCAAUGGACCUGGCAUUCCUCUGCUUGUUGGUGUCUGAAAGUGUCACUAACUCUGUACGAAUGGCGACACGGCCGGCGACCGGGUCCCUGAGCUCUGCUCCCUAAUAACCUUUGCAUGAAAACGGGCCUGCGCUUAAUUGUGCGGCCACCAAACUCGAACAACUGUUAACAAUGGAUAUCUUGGUUCUC
rnacentral:misc_RNA from 1 species